rnacentral:misc_RNA from 1 species
UCCAUCCUAAUUUUAAGCAACCAUUUUCCUCCACCAAAGUAUAUCCUUUCCAAGGGAACAUACCAAGUAACAGGCUAGCUUGGGCGGCCGGGUUACCGCCAAGUGAAACGGGUUGAAACCCGACGCGUCUCAACUCAUCCCCCCAUCUCUCCACCUUCACCUCACCGGUCCUCUUGGGCCCACCAACAGCCACAAUGUUUCUAAUCUCCGAACCAAACAACUGCUGCUCCACUGUAUGCCUCUCCACGCUGUCUGCACCCAAUCCAUCCCCUAGCGCAUCAAAUAAAGCACUAUAAUAAUGCAAAGCCUCCACGAACCUCCCUAAAAAACUACCUCCAUGGCUCAAGUCUUGUUCAACGGUCGUGAUCAAUUUGGGCCUCAACAAAGUCAACAAUCUCAACGUCCCUAAAUCGCUCCCAGUUAUAUCGUAAAGACAGUGAUGCAUCCAGUGAACCACAACCGCCUCCCUUGGUCUAACACCGAGUUGACUAACAUCUGUCACAUUUCCAAUUUUACCCUCCACAGGAUGGAAUUCGAAGGGCAGGCCUAGUGAGUUCGCGAAAUCUGCGAGUCUCUUCCCUGUUGACUCGAGCAACUCGGAGGAUGAUCCGAACCCGGUUAUUCUCAUGGAUCGGACCUUCUUGGUUCUUGAAGCAAGUAUGUGGAACAAUCCUGGCCAUUGAAGGCCUUGCAUGAUAUCGAGAUCGAUGACGUGGACACGAUCCUCACCGUCCAAUGCUUGGAAAAUUGAUUGGUUGGCAGUGAAGUGAGAGAACUUGAUUAACGGACUGAUUGAAUUGUAGGACUGAAACGCGUUGAAGAUUUUUUGAGACUGAGUUAGGGUUAGGGAUUUGGAGGUGAGAGGUGAAUAGGUACCCAAGCAGGAACUUACCACACGCGCAUGGAGCGCGUGAGCGAAGUAGGCACCGACGCGCUCAGGGGACGAUCCGAACGGAGAUGAGAGCUCGGAGAUCUCAGGAAGGAGAUCGGACGCGUCGUCGAGGUUGUCCAUGGCAACGCACUCUGCGCAUUGUAGCAAAAGGCCAAGGAGCCUGAGACCAGUGGACUCCGUGGAAUCUUCCUCGCCAGUAGUUUUGUCGCCGGAGACAGUGGCCUCAGUGGAGAAGUUAGGUCGUUUGGCAGAAGGGUCGUCAGCGCCUCCUGAGGCGUCCCCACCCGCCAGUUCUUUGUCGACGCGCUUUGUCUUCAUGGAGGAAGUAGAAUUGUUGGGUUUAGAACUAGAAUUGAUUGGCGAUUGAGGAACUAAGCUUUGAAGCAUGAUCGGAGAUAGAGAAUCGAAAGGCUGAAGAGCUUUCGAGAGAAAAGAGACAAAAUCUUGUAAACAAGGACAAGAGAAGUACGAUUAGAAAGCUGCAGAGAAGUGUCAGAGGAUAAAGGAAAGAAAAUAAAAGGGUGCUGUCAGCUGCGUUUGGAAAGAGAGAAAGUGAGGGAAAAUAAAUUAGAAAGGUAGAAAACUUUUCUAUAAG